AGCCGCGGUAAUACGGAGGAUCCGAGCGUUAUCCGGAUUUAUUGGGUUUAAAGGGUGCGUAGGCGGCCUUUUAAGUCAGCGGUGAAAGUCUGUGGCUCAACCAUAGAAUUGCCGUUGAAACUGGGGGGCUUGAGUAUGUUUGAGGCAGGCGGAAUGCGUGGUGUAGCGGUGAAAUGCAUAGAUAUCACGCAGAACCCCGAUUGCGAAGGCAGCCUGCCAAGCCAUGACUGACGCUGAUGCACGAAAGCGUGGGGAUCAAACAGGAUUAGAUACCCUGGUAGUCCACGCAGUAAACGAUGAUCACUAGCUGUUUGCGAUACACUGUAAGCGGCACAGCGAAAGCGUUAAGUGAUCCACCUGGGGAGUACGCCGGCAACGGUGAAACUCAAAGGAAUUGACGGGGGCCCGCACAAGCGGAGGAACAUGUGGUUUAAUUCGAUGAUACGCGAGGAACCUUACCCGGGUUUGAACGCAUUCGGACCGAGGUGGAAACACCUUUUCUAGCAAUAGCCGUUUGCGAGGUGCUGCAUGGUUGUCGUCAGCUCGUGCCGUGAGGUGUCGGCUUAAGUGCCAUAACGAGCGCAACCCUUGCCACUAGUUACUAACAGGUAAAGCUGAGGACUCUGGUGGGACUGCCAGCGUAAGCUGCGAGGAAGGCGGGGAUGACGUCAAAUCAGCACGGCCCUUACAUCCGGGGCGACACACGUGUUACAAUGGCGUGGACAAAGGGAAGCCACCUGGCGACAGGGAGCGAAUCCCCAAACCACGUCUCAGUUCGGAUCGGAGUCUGCAACCCGACUCCGUGAAGCUGGAUUCGCUAGUAAUCGCGCAUCAGCCAUGGCGCGGUGAAUACGUU
rnacentral:rRNA from 1 species